GACGAACGCUGGCGGCGUGCCUAACACAUGCAAGUCGAACGAAGAAUGUUUUUCGGAAUAUUCUUAGUGGCGGACGGGUGAGUAACGCGUGAACAAUCUGCCCCGUACAAAGGGAUAGCCUCGGGAAACCGGGAUUAAAACCAUAUAACGCUUUAGUACCGCAUGGUAAUAAAGUCAAAUCGAUUAAGAGGUAUGGGAUGAGUUCGCGUCUGAUUAGCUAGUUGGUGAGGUAAGGGCUCACCAAGGCGACGAUCAGUAGCCGGCCUGAGAGGGUGAACGGCCACACUGGAACUGAGACACGGUCCAGACUCCUACGGGAGGCAGCAGUGGGGAAUAUUGCACAAUGGAGGGAACUCUGAUGCAGCGACGCCGCGUGAGUGAAGAAGGUCUUCGGAUCGUAAAACUCUGUCCUUGGUGAAGAAAGGACGGUAGCCAAGGAGGAAGCCCCGGCUAACUACGUG
rnacentral:rRNA from 1 species